UUUUUUUUUAUUUAUUUAUUUUUUUGUUAUUUCUGACUAGUACUUGAAUUACCCUCAUUGGAUUAUUCAUUGGUUACUAUGAUAGUAUUGAUCAAUGUAAUAUACUGAUUACUAUUAUAACCCAUAAUUAUUAUUCAUGGUUAGUAUAUAUAAUAUUUAUAUUGUAUUUGACACAUAUGUCAAAUGAUAUAAUUUUUUGUAGUACAUUAAGUAUGCUUAGGAGAAUUUUAAAAGAGGUGAGAAGAUUUAUCAAAAGGAGGCAUCCAUUAUCUCUCCUGAGAUUUGCAACCACCGUUUUAGUGGAUUUUUGCUGUUGCUGGCAAAGAAGAACUAAUCUCUUUGAGGUAUCACGUUACAAAAAUGCAAACAUUGGGUAAGUACAGAAGGCAAACUGCCUCUGUUCUAUGAGAAAUAGUUUUAAUGAUGACACGGAUUUGAAAUCCAAACCUGUGAGUUUGAGUCAUGUGUCCCUCACUGUUGGUAUCAACUUUUAACUUAGAAUCAUCUGGAAAAUGAGUGACAAUUGAGGAAUAUUCUAGACAAAGUUGUCUGUGAGUAUUUCUGUAGGAUUGUCUUGACUGUUAGUUGAUUUAGCCCCUUGUUGGCAGCAGAAUUCCUUAGCAGAGAUCCUAAACUCUGCAAGAUAGGAGAAAUCUAGCUGAGAGAAACAAGCAAGCAGCCUGGUCCAGUUGUUUCUCUCUGCUCUUAACUGUGAUAUCAUAUAACUAGCUACUUGAGUGUGUGCCUUUCCUUCCCCACUUGAUAGAAUAUUGUAGGACCAUGAAAAGCAGCUUGUUUUCUGGUCAAGCUAGAUUUAAACCCUGGAAACCCAGCAGGUGUUUCUACAAGGGACAGAGGCCUGUUUGCCAUCCUACCAGACACAAGGCUUACGAUGCUCCAGCUCCAUAAUUCUGUUACCAUCAGUCAUGUAGGGCAAACCGCCCCCUCCCCACCCAAGCCCCUGGUAUUCUGUCUGGACUCCACCCCCACAGUAACCUGGCAACAGCUAGGCAAGCUCCUCCCCACAGUUAUUUGGCAAUAGCCAGAUAGGCACAGCCCACUAUAAAAGGGGUUGUUUGUCCCCUCCUCCCUCUCUUACUCUCUUGUUCUUACUCUCUUACUCUUGCCUCUUGCUCCCUUGCCCCCUUUCUCUCCACAUUCCUUUUCCCCCAUCUCUCCACAUGGCCAUGGCCAGCCUCUACUUCCAUACUCUCUCCCUCUCUUUGCCUUUCUACAAUAAAUGUCUUAAAACCAUUUGCCCCUUUUCAUCGGGAUCCACAGUGCUGGAGCAACGGUGCAGGUCUUCCUCUAAGGAGCCCCUCUUUGCCAGAAGGUCUCCCAGCCCUUCCAGUCACAGCUGUCAGCCAAACCAAGCCAAGCCCACCACCAGAGCAAGCUUAGGACUCUCCUCCCCAUGGGAACCUGUCAGAGUUCCCCCCUCCUGCUCUUUUCCCUUAGGUCCUGGGCCAGAGCCCACCUGUGGGCCCCUAUUCUGUUCCCUGCUCUUCUGUGGCAUACAGAAGCAUCAGGGAUAUCCAAGAGCCCGAGAACCUGUCAUCCUCGGUCUCGGUGCAGGUCCUGGGACCCUGAACCAAUUCCAGUAGUUCCCCGGAGACCUCAGACUGUGCUUCCCCACACCCAAAGCAGGGUGCUGUGGCUUCUCACAGCCUGACACCCACCUGGCGCCUGUGUGGGGUCCACACAGUCAGACUUCCUUCAUACAGCCUCGCUUAGGAGCCCGAACCCUGGGACAGACAUGGGACUCCAUUUUAACCCACAGAAUAUAACCUGGAAUUUAAGAUGAAUACACCCUUUCUUUCACUAUGUUAAUUUUUUUUUUGGUUUUUGUUUGCUUGUUUAUUUGUUUAGGAUAUUUUAUUUCAGCAAAAGUAAUGAAACUAGGACACUGGAUCACAAACAUCAGUAUGUUAACCAUCACACCUAAAACAUUACUGGAAAACUGUGCACAUCUCUUUUUACAGGGUAACUUAAUAAGUAUUCACAAACAUUCUUAGUGCUCAUCAAAUACUCAGAAAUUGCAUGUGUCAAGAAGUCAAAUAACACAAUAAUUUCUACAGAUUAAUGAUUCUUGUAAUUUCUUGUAAUUGUAAAAUAAAAUAAUUUUUAUUUUAUUUUCUUUUGAAAUCAUUUUGUACAAUGAUAAAAAGACAAGCAGGUAGACUUUUGAUUCAUUCUGAAUGGCUUAAUAGUAAGUGAUUAAAGAAGAGAAUCCAUAUUGACUCCAAUAUUAAGUAUAUUAAAGCAUCUUAAAGUCCCAAUUAAAUACACAGUUGUAUUCCUUUUUUUUUUUCAGAAAAAAAAGUAGAGGUAACCUUUACCUAUUAAAGUCCAUGUUUAAUAUAACAUCUGAAUAUGUUUCUAUGAAUGAGUAAGAUGUCUUUGGAUUAUUCAGUACUCAUAUCUCUGAAGACCUGAAGUGUUCAUACUGACUUUUCUACUUUUUCUCAGCUAUCAACAAUAUAAUUUUGACUGUUUACAGAACAGAUUUCCUGUAUGUGGUUGUAAAAGAAACACAUUUGUUGCAUUAUGCUUAUAGAAAAAUAAACAACAUACUUC
rnacentral:lncRNA from 1 species